GGCGGAAUAAGAAUGGGUUGCGAGAAAAAGGGCAGCAUCGGCCGGACGACAGCAAGGGACGAAGGCAAGGGCUUUGGACAAGAGAGAGACGUAGGGCGACCUAUUCAUCAAUGUCAUCGUCUUCUUCUUCUUCUUCUUCUUCUUCUUUGUAGGUUCCUUCUCUUUACCAAAACCUAGCGAAGGUGGCGUAGCUGCGUAUAGAGGAGCGCGUUUAGGCCGGAAGUACCUGCGUCUUAAACCCUAGAAGUGCGUUACCGUGUUCGACAUUUUUUUUUCGGGCGGAGAUUACUGCGACCGCAGGCAUCUUUUUUUUCUUCGUCAACUUUUAGUUUGUUGAGGGGAGAAAAAACUUUUAUUGCGUGCCAACUAAAGAUAAUAAAAGGUGUUCUUUUAGAAAAAAGUUGCACUAUUAUUUUUUUAUCUUGGGUGUAUUUUUUAUAGUUAGAACAAAAAUAUACCCUUAAUCUUCUAUUAAAAAUGACUUGAUCAGCUAUUAAAAAAUUGAUAAUUAAUUAUCAAACAAAUUUUAAAAAAUAUAAAAAGCUAUACUAAUCAUUUUAAAAUCAAUAGAUAUGUAUCGAAGAUGAUUAAUAUCUAUUUUUUAUUUUAAAAACUUUAUAAUUAAUUAUCAAAUUAUAAUUUAUUUAAAUAAUAUAUAUGAUUAAGUCACAUAAGUUAAAAAUAUAAGAGUGUUUUUUGUCUAUAUAAAAAAUACCUAAGUAAAAAUGAAUAUGGAGGAUUUCAUCGAUAAAAAAAACUAAUACUAAAAAUUAUUUUUUUUAUAAAAGACCCAACAUAAAUGAAUGAAUGUUAUAAAAUAACUUAUUCGUCAUAAAAUUUGAUGGAUUAAUACAUAUGCUACUCUAAUUAUCAAGUUAAAGUUAAUAAUAAAAAAUUCAUGUAAUCUUUAAUGUCAUCGUAACCAUCAACUAUUUAUGAUGUGAAUGGAAAACCUACUCAUUAUUCACUUAAAAAUCUAUUCAAUAGAUUUUCACCGUAUAGGGAACCAAUAGAGACUCACAAACACGUCGACUAUCUUGCUACUGAGAAUUAAUACAAACAUAUGCUAACUAUGAAACAAAGCCCAAGGCAACUUCUAUCUAGAAAUUAAUAAUCAUUAGAUGAUCAUAUUCAUACUAAAAAUAGAAAGUCAUUCAUCUCAUUAAGAAGGUGCACCUUGAUAAUUACUUUUGAUUUAGAAUCGAUUAUAUUUGAUUUAACAUAUUGACAAGCAUUGUAAUUGUUAUGAAUAUCCUUCUACGGAAUCAAAUAGUUUGCAUAAUAUAUCUCACAUUUAUAAAGGCUUCUUCUCAUAUUUAUUAUUUUUCAAUAUCGAAGAAUUAUUCUGUCAGCUUAAGGGAUUUAUACUUGAUCUAGCAGGCUCUUUAUGCAAAGUAACUCAAAAUCUCUUUUCAAUUUGUAUCUCAAAAUUGUUAUAAUACCUGACUGUUUUUAAUGGUUCUUUAUAAUUGAAUAAGAUAUAUAAUAAAAUUAAUUAGAUUUUGAUAACGGAUAUUAGUUAAUAGAAAGAAGUAUCAAAAUAGGGCCAAGUGGGAAAAUAUCUUAUUAAUUAAUGAGUUAAGUGAGAGAAUAUCAAAAUAUAUGACCCUUUAUAAUUAAAUAAGAUAUCUAAUAAAACCGAUUGAAUUCUGAUAACGGAUAUUAGCUAAUAGAAAGGAAGUUGAUAUUAUAAUAUGAUUCCUUAUGGUACGCACUUGAUGAGAGGACUCUCAUAAUUACUUAUCAUAUACCCUCUAAUCUCGCAUAUAAAUAGAUAGAACCUCCUAGGUCUAAUGACAUGAUGUUUAUGUGACGUGAUGAUCGUGGACACAUACAUAAGAUACGAUAGGUGACAUUGAGAGAUUACGGUUCCUUUCUCAUCAUCUCUUAUCACUGAACUAUCAAUAACUAUAGUCUUGUGAAAAUGUAGACAGAGAUGGGAAGUGUUUAGUUCUCUUUGUAGAUCAAUAUUUGAUAUAGAUGUUUUUGCUCCACACAAACUCAUCUGCCACUAAGGCCAACAAGAGAGUUCCAGGUCACCAGCUCCAAAAUGGCACCAUAGUACAUUCUGAUAACCAUCCUACUUUAUUAAGAUCAAAGAAUGAUCAGGUGAUUCAACUAAUCUUAUCCAAGGCUAGCUAAUAAAAGGCCUAGGGAUUAAGUAUAAAAAAGAAACUCAUUAACUCAAGCUAAGAGGGGGGACUUUCUACGUACUAACCUAGUUAUACAACUUACACCACUAUCUUUUCCCUUUCGCUGACUUAAGCAUCGGAAGGGAUGCGUUGGGCAACUCCCAAUACUGGCCUAUCAUGCAAGAUUGCUAAUGGCCAAGAGACGACAUCACUCUUAGGAUGCAGCCAUGCAACCACGAGACAAUCCUUCAUUCGAGGACACAUGGAUGACCCAACCCCAGGGAAGAACGUCGCAACCAAGAAGACUCCAAACCCCCUACCCGAUCAUCCCGAAUCGGGUCCUCACCAAUAGAACGAUGUCUGAUCGGACCGCCUAUGUUGUCUCACUCAUCGGGUCACCCACAUCAGUCAAGAAAAGGCACCUGGGUAAACUUGCACCUUCGAUAGUGGAUCAACCGUGUUGAGUUAUUAGUCGAUGGUACUCAUGACACCAUCAAUAUCCUUAUAAUAUUUGAAUAUGAGGAUGGUGAUCCUACAUAGAUAGAGAAUUUUUUAGAUGACUUUGAAAGGUGUGUAAUAAAAUCUAAUAUAUCUUAUUUGAUUUCAAUCCCGAUAUUAAAAUUAAUAUAUAGCAUAUAAUAUAUUUUAUGCUUGGAACUUGCUAUGUGUCCUCUUUCCCUCUUCUUUCUACCCUUUACAUCUCUCUACAAUAAUCAUUAUUACAAUCCAAAAGCUAACCGUAAAUUAAGCAAAAGAGGUAAAUGGAACAAAAAACCACUUUUGGGACCCUGCCCUGUUUCUAUGUUGUCCCAAAAAGCCAAGUACCUAAAAAGCUUUUUCUUUGUCUCUAGAAUAGCUAAACAUGGCCAAAUUAAGUUGAGAUUUUGGCAGCAGAGAAGAGCGGAACAUAACUAAAACUUGUGCAAAACCAAGUGAAGAAUUGGUAAAUGAGUGCUUAUAUUUUACCUUGAUUUAAAGUAUCGAUGCUGAACCCACAUCUUGCCAAUGAAGUAUAAUGAAUUCAACCUCAAUCGUAAAGUAAGAACAGGAGGUAAAAGAAUGAACGCCAACCAUGGCCAUUUGCAAAGGAGAUGAUCAAACGAAUCCUUGCGUGCUAGGAGAUUGGAGGUGGGUUAAGCCAACACCAUCAUCCACAUACCCAAUAAUUACGCUCAGGUUAGAUAAGAUUCCAUGAGAAACUCACAUGCCUCAUUACGGUUAACUUGUUAGAUUUACCACUUCGUUUGGAUCAGAAGAUAAAUCCAUCCAGUAGAUAACAAGGAUUUGAAGCCCUUGCUCUGUGUAUGUAAUCUCUAGUGUGUUGUCAGAUCUAAGUCGAGGAAGAUAAAAGACACGAGAUGUAUGAGUUGAUAUAUCAUAUGCUUAAGAAAGUUCAAAAUAAUUUCUCAUGAUUUUCCAUUAGAUUAUUGUGGAAUUCCAAGUCGUAGACAAAGCAUGUACCUUUUGGAGUUCUUCGUACGUACACAAUAUCUUGUGACAGACAUCUUUAUUAAGAUCUUUGGUUAUUUGCAGACAAAAGAUAAGUACUGCACAGACGAAGGAUCAUAAGCACACUUCGUUAACCCAAGAAACCUGACUGAUUUGUACUCAUGUAAAGACUGAUCAUAAAGUAAGCAUUCUAAACCGUGCACUGAGAUGGAGCAUUGUGGUGAUGAGAUUAAACUGACUAACCCAGAAUUAAAAAGUAAAGAUUUAAUUUCUACAAUGAAAAUGAUGGAAGAGGUGCUAAUAACUUGUGAAAUGUGUAUGCUUUGAUAUGCAUUUGAUGGAGUUGUGUGCAUGCAUCAAAACCAAAUUUCAGUUGUCAGAUAUCAUUACUGAUUUGUUGGUAAUUAGUUCCACAAAUUGUUAUACCAGCUUGGGAAAAGAAUCUGUACAUGUCAUAACAUGUUAGAACAAUAAACACCAUGAUCUUAUAAAAGAAAAGUACUCGUUCUUUAAUCCUAUGUGGAAGGUCUCAUAAAAAACUUGAACAAUUUUAUGAAAAAACUUCACAUUUUAUUUUUUUAAAAAAAAUUGUAAAUAUUUUUCCCUUUUUUUUUUUCCGAACAUGAGCAUAUUGAUCCAAAAUGGUGCACUAAUCUAAAUAGAUAGAUUUGAUCAUUUAAGGCUGGGAGUCCAUUUAGAUGAUUUAUAAUAUUUAUAAAUAGAUUUUAUAGUAUUUUUGUUGUGAUGAUCGAAACAUUAUAAAAGGUUAAACAUUAUAGGCUUGUAAUUAGUUUGAUUGAGGUUUAGUUUAUUUAUGGUAUGCUUUACAAUAUUUUUCAUGGCUAAUAAAAACAUUAUAAUAAACUAAUUUUUUACUCCUAUUUGGAUGAUAUUAUUAUUAAAUUAUUAUAAAUACAUAGUAUGAUAUAUCAAAUUAUUUCUAGUGUGUUUGGAUUUCUCAGUUAUAGUAUUUUUAAAUAACGUUAUAGUGUUUUUGUAAGGUGUAAAGCCAUUGAAAAAUAGUAUUUUUCAAUUGUUCAUCUUUGAUUAUCAUUGAUCGUAGAUCAUUACAGCCUAUAGUUGGUUUGACCGAGUCCAUUUGGGUCAUUUAUAAUAUUUUUAUUAUUAUGAUCAAAAUACUAUAAAAAUUAAUUUUUGAUCCUCAGUAAUGAUCAUGCUACUGUACAAAACCAAUCAAUCAACUUGGAUUCACACACCUAUAGAUCGGUCUAAAAGGUAUCCAUGAAAUUAGCGGGAAAAAUAUCAUUGAGACCGGUAAGAGAUACUUUCGGUAUUAUUCAAAAUAGAAGGGAGAAACAUGAGACAUAAUUUAGAAUAAUAAUAAUAAUAAUAAUAAUAAUAAUAAUAAUAAUAAUAAUAAUAAUAAUAAUAAUAAUAAUAAUAAUAAUAAUAAUAAAAGAGAGCUUUUGCUGACAAACAAAUUCCUUGAUUUGUGCGCUGUAGUUGUAGGGUCAUUUAGACUUUGCAGCAUCAGAGAGUUCCCCUCUUCCCAACUCCUGUUUACUUAACAAUGAGCAUGAAUAUACGCCUACGACCAAAAAUUCCAUUUGGCGCCCGCAAAAUAUGGCUGCAGAAACUAAAUCCGGUGAAGAAAUGAAUGCCAUUUGCCCUUCACUUGCAUCUCAUAGGAGCAAAAGAAGGGGAAAAGAAUCUGGGCAUAAAAUCUAGUUAGCUAGAGUUUGGAUGCUUUCAUCUCAAGAAAUCUCUCUUUUUAUAUUUUCUUAAAGUUCAGUAGAUUCAAUGUAGAAGGCAUUGCAAUUUUCUACCUGUUUCUUCCUUUCUAUCUUUUCUUUUGGAAAAACAAAAGGAUGGCCAGAAUAUGCACAUUUUGGUUAUAUAUUCUCAACAAUGAUGAGAAUAAGAACAAUGAUAUGACUGCAGACAGGACCAAUAUCUAUGUUUUCAGAAAAUACAACCGAUAAGUCGUCAAAUGAACAGCAGUGCUGUGUGCAUUAGUCUUUAUAAAGUAUAAAUUCCACAUCAUACUUCACUUGAUCUCCAUCAAUAUGGUGGAAACAAAUUUAAAAGAAAGUUCAGUUUGAUAUGAUGUAAAACAAGAUAUCUCAUUCUUUGUUUGAUCUAAUUACAAAAAGUUAUGCUCAGAUCUAUAUCAUUUCUUAGUCUAGAGUAUAUUUGAACACACAACAAUAACAUUAAUUGCAAGCCAUAAUGAGCAGAUGUUGCCAAUCAGAAAUCUUAAAUUCGGGAAGCAGGGAUGAUACCGCAUUACCAACAAAACCUGAUAAUAACGAUUAAAAAUAAAUUGAUCUUGUUUAGCAAGCAAUUUUAGAGGGCAUAAAAUCCUAGAACAUAUAUAGUUCUACAAGUUGAAAGGAUCUCAGUCCUUUUAGAGACAAAAUCCCCCACAAAAAGUAUCAAGCCUUGCAAACAGCAUCAGUCUUUUCCUACUGAAAGAACCUGACCCUAUCCAGCAGCUAGUUCUGAGGCAGUACAGUACAUGUAUAAUUCUUCGCUGAUAACGACUCAAGCCUUUGUUAGGAAAACAUCUCUACGAUGAUCAACAUGCGAUAGGGUGCAAGUCAUCUAAAACUUCUCUUGAUCCCGAUAACUCAACAGGAGUAAGCAGUGCUUCAGUUUAAUUUAACCAAGUACCUACCUGCCAGAGACACUGCUGUUAAUUCUCCAAGGCCAAUAAUGUAUGAAUACCUAAGAAAAAGCACAAUGCAAAAGAUUGGAACUAGGACACAUACAACAUUUACUGGAGAUUAGCAUGCUACAAUACCUCAGGGAAGUUAUAUUGACGUAUUUGUCCAGAGACAACAAAACAACAAAGUCUUAAGAAAAGGAACACACCAAAAUAUUAAAAAUCGGACGAAUGGCUGAGACUAUCAUGCUAUACUACAACAGAAUAGCAUAUAUAAGAAUCUGGAGAACCAAGGGCUGGAAUCAAAUUUGAGAUUACAUGUUGCCAUUAGGCAAUAUAUUUAGAGAUGCCCUAUUGUCACAUUGAAGCACAAGUUUGUAACAUAAAAACAACCUGCAUAAUUUGACAUAUUAACUAGACUUCCAGAUCACAUUUUUGUUUGAUAGCUAUUACAGCUUUGACAAAAAUAAGACACCGAACAAAGGAUGCAAAAGAAACAUAUAGUAGCAAAAGCCAAAAAUGUUGAAAUGUGGAUUUUCAUAGUACAUAAACCAGUAUAACUACAUAUCAUAAAUAUAACCAAAGAUUCUAACGGUUAGAAAUAUCUUGACUUCAGUCUGACUGUGGGUAAAAUACAUUUCAGGAAGGCUGAAAUUGGUGUCAUCUGACAGCGGACAAAAUACAUUUUGGGAAGGGGGAAAUUGGCCUACAAGAAGUCAGCAAGUCUCAUUUCUCUUUCAUUACCUGAAGGCUGGCAAUGGUUGAAUUCUCCCUAGCAAAGUAACUCCUAGAAUUAUAUUUCCUUUUCCAAUUUGUUCAACAUAUCCUUACUAAUGUAAUCAAACUAGCACACUGCAGAUGCCAACCUCUGGAAGGUAACACAUACUAAAAGAGCAAUUUCCAAGAACCUUGUUAAUCCACUUCUUUUGCACCAAACACUCUGCAAAUGGAGCUAACACCCCAAGUAUUUUUUAUUGAUAAGAACAAUUUAUGAUCGAUACAAGACAACCUCUGGACAGUAACACCUACUAAAAUAUCAAUUUCCUAGAUCACUGCUAAUCCGCUUCUUUUGCACCAAACACCCUGCAUAUGGAGCUAACAAUCAAGUACUUUUGAUUGAUAAGAACAUUUUAUGCACUGAACACUCAAUAUGACCCAACCCAAAAAAUGAGAGGAUCGCACCCUCCGGAAAUUUAUGAUCCCGACAUCUGUAACGCACAGAGCACAAUAAUAAUAUUCAUUGACAAUAACUGAAAAUACAUCCCAUCAAGUGUCAUCAUUAUUACUGGAGUAAACAUCUAACUAUACUUUUAUUAAAUAUCAUAUAACAAUCUUCACCUUGCUAGAAUCGAACACUUCUCAAUCCAUAGUUCCCCAGCUACGGAUCAUCUGAAAUAUGUAAUUUUCAGAUCGAUAGGGAUUAUCUUAGUAGAAACAAGAUGUCAAGAAAUCUAGUUGUCUCAUGCAAUCAGCAAAAGAUAAGAAUAAUAAUGAAAAAAGAGUAUAACUUAGAAUAAAAGAUCUCACAAAUUCAUCAUGAGAAAAGCACAUCCAUUAGUGCACUUUGCUGCAUCGGAACUCGUCCGACUGCUCAGGAUGAAGCAACCUCCUUAUAGACUAAAUUCAUAUCACAUUCCCUGCUAUUAGUCCAUUACUAGGAUCAAGUGGUGCCCGGCAACAGUAGAAAUACGUCUUUCUAUGGAUGCAAGGAAUAUCUUAUAAGCUUCUAUGACGACUACUAAUCCCUUUCAAAAUUGCCUACUAAUCAUGACAAUGUUGUUCAAUCAUCCAUAUAUGUAUAUAUCAACAUGCUGCACAACCAUGCAACAACAUCCUUUCACAUGCUCAAGCGUCCAACUUAUGCAUCAUGGCACUUCUAACAAAUAUUAAUUAUAGGCUACAAUAGAGGCAUCAAUAUAAAAUUGAUUGCCAAAAGAAAUAUGAUCUAAUAACAGCAUAUUAAAAUUUCAUCAUGUCAGCAUAAAGAGAAUCUAGGUUUUAUGAGGCACCUAACACUAUAUUGAUCAUCCAAAUUGGAUACAGAGUCCAAAAAAGUUAUUAUUGAUUUACAAUUCAGUCCUCAAAAUUUACAAUCAUUUCUUCAAUACAUUGCAAACCAGUCCCUAGCAGUCUUAAUGGGCAGGACCUUAGGCAGCCACGUGGAACUUGGUCUCACAGGCAGGACCACAUGGAGUUGGCCUGUCUGAGCUGAAGUGCAUGAAGUUUAGACCACCCCCGUACUCAAAUGCUUAAAUUGGUAAAGGACAACUUGUACAUUCCAGUGCUUAAAUUGAGAACAAAACAUUGGCAAUACGGAAAGUGUGGUUUCCUUCAUAAAUCUAAGAGUUUCAACUUCAUUCUCAAGAAGACGGUCAGCUUCAAACUAUCAUGGUGGAAACCUGGUAUUCAUUAAGGUUUUGCAUUUAUAAAGAGAGAAAUUUCAACUGAAUUGACCGAUCAGCAAGAAGAAAGAAGUGGUUCAAACUAAUCACUUAAGAAAGAGAACAAAAUUUGAUAAACAAAAUAUACAAAAAAUUGAAACCCAACCUCAUUUCCCUUUUUUGGGUUUCGGGUUUGGUUUUGGAAUGGAGGGACUUUAGUAAAUUUAUAUAAAAGGUGACCAACCCUUGCCCUAAAUCAAAAGCCUCAUCAUCCAGCUCAAAAUCACCAAAGCAUCCAACCAUACCAUCCAAAAGAAUCCUACUUCUUAUCAUUUGAAAAAAUUAACCAAAACUCGAAACCUAAAUUACCAAAUAUCCGAAGUCAAAUCAAUUCAAAACUUCAGGUGUCCAAUAACCUACAUAAGUCUGAUAUCUUCCAGUAGACUUAAAACAAAUAGGACAAGAAUAACAAUUCUAUGUGGCGUCUACACAAGUGAUUAUAAACAAGCAAUUAACUCUAUCGGCAAUUUCAUCACAAAUCUUCUCAACAUUCUUCAUUUUCUUACUACGUGUAAGCAUCCAAACUCAUAUUACAUUCACAGAAACGAAGUAAAUGGCAGGAAUUAUUUGGUCGCAAACUGUAGAUCAUGUUAUGCGGAUAGUGGAAAAUUGGAACCUGGAAACAUAACUUGCUGGUACAAAAGCUUGUGCUAUGCAUUAUGCAUUUCCACGAUCAAAUGCAGUGAUGUUUUUGGGGACUCCAUUAUACAACUCAAUGAGUUCUGGAUACUCCUUGUAGCGGUUGACGAACUUCUCCACAAAUUUCUUCUCUGAAUAUUUCACGUAUGUAGACAUACUAAGGUUACUGAUGCAAACUCCCCUAGACUUCAGGCCUGUCACAAUCUGAUGCCUUGGCAUCAACCUUUUCUCCAAACUGCACAACAAAAUAUCUGGCCGAAGUGCAAUAUGAGAUGGAGCACAUCCGGCUUCAUUUACCAAGAACUCCAACUUCCUCUGCAAACUCUUUAAAGAAAUUUGCACAAACGUAGGAGCCUUUCUGAAUGCAGCAAGGAAAUCAUCCUCGGACCACCCGAAGCCCUCGAAGAACUCCAAGUGAGCCUUGAAGUUAUUCUCGGAGACGUUGUGGAGCACAGUCAGGGUCAAGGGGAACAUCCCUGAGGUGCAAGCUACUCCCAAACCCUCGGCACGACUGAUUAACGCCUUCAGGGUUUCAGCAUUCCGGGUUAUGAGGAGAGGAUAUUGCCUUAGGAUCAUUGAGAGCUUCUGAUCCGUCAUCCCGCAAUCCCUUAGAAUUUCAAUGUUAGGCUGGAUCGUCUUCUCGAUGCUAUACCCGAGAAACCUCCUGUUUUUCUUGCACAAGUUCAUCAGUAAGUCGUUGGACCCGAGGAGGCCUUGCCAUAAUUGGAUCUUGGACAAGAUGGUCUGGGAUUUGUCGCUGAUGACGUCGUUAUUCGAUCUGACGAGGUGGGUGAUGUCGGAGCAGGAGAAGCCCAGAUCCUGCAAAGCUCGGAACUUUGGGGCCAGGGUCUUCUCCACGUCGAGGAGAAGCCACCGGGGGUUUGCAGAUAUGACCUUUUUCACCUGGGUGUUGUCAAAACCGUAGCUUUUAAAAAAGCCAAGGACGGAGUCAGGCUGGUGGCGGGAUUCGACGCGACCAAGGAGCUUCGAGGCUUUGGCCGCCUGAUCAGGAUGGAAGCCACAGUAGCUGACCAGGUAUUCAGCCAUAAGGCUGCUCUCUGGAGCACCGGAGGCGGCGGAAUAAGAAUGGGUUGCGAGAAAAAGGGCAGCAUCGGCCGGACGACAGCAAGGGACGAAUGCAAGGGCUUUGGACAAGAGAGAGACGUAGGGCGACCUAUUCAUCAAUGUCAUCGUCUUCUUCUUCUUCUUCUUCUUCUUUGUAGGUUCCUUCUCUUUACCAAAACCUAGCGAAGGUGGCGUAGCUGCGUAUAGAGGAGCGCGUUUUGGCCGGAAGUACCUGCGUCUUAAACCCUAGAAGUGCGUUACCGUGUUCGACAUUUUUUUUUUCUGGCGGAGAUUACUGCGACCGCAGGAGUCUUUUUUUUCUUUGUCAACUUUUAGUUUGUUGAGGGGAGAAACAACUUUUAUUGCGUGCCAACUAAAGAUAAUAAAAGGUGUUCUUUUAGAAAAAAUUUGCACUAUUAUUUUUUUAUCUAGGGUUUAUUUUUUAUAGUUAGAACAAAAAUAUACCCUUAAUCUUCUAUUAAAAAUGACUUGAUCAGCUAUUAAAAAAUUGAUAUCAAAAAUUUUUAAAAAAAUAUAAAAAGCUAUGCUAAUCAUUUUAAAAUCAAUAGAUAUGCAUCGAAGAUGAUUAAUAUCUAUUUUUAUUUUAAAAAUUUUUAUAAUUAAUUAUCAAAUUAUAAUUUAUUUAAAUAAUAUCUAUGAUUAAGUCACAUAAGUUAAAAUAUAAGAGUGUUUUUUGUCUAAAUAAAAAUACCUAAAUAAAAAUGAAUAUGGAGGGUUUCAUCGAUAAGAAAACUAAUACUAUAAAUUAUUUUUUUAUAAAAGACCCGACAUACAUGAAUGAAUGCUAGAAAACAACUAAUCCAUCAUAAAAUUUGAUGAACUAAUACAUAUGUAUUCUAAUUAUCAAGUUAAAGUCAACAAUAAAAAAUUCAUGUAAUCUUUAAUGCCAUCAUAACCAUCAACUAUUUAUGAUGUGAAUGGCAAAACCGCUCAUUGUUCACUUAAGAAUCUACUCAUUAGAUUUUCACUAGAUAGAGAACAGACAACAACUCGUAAACAUGUCAACUAUCUUACUAGAAACAUACACUAUCUAUGAAACAAUGCCCAAGGCAACUUCUAUCUAGAAAUUAAUAAUAAUUAGAUGAUCAUGUUCACACUCAAAAUAGAAAGUCAUUCAUCCUAUAAUCAUUAACUUAUUAUAUCCAUACCAAGAUUAAGAAAGUAUCCCGAUGAUUAACAUUGAUUUAGAUUCGAUUAUAUUUGAUUUAACAUAUUGACAAAUAUUGUAAUUGGUAUAUAUAUCCUUCGACGGAAUCAAAUAAUUUGGGUAAUAUAUCUCACGGCUAAUUCUCACUCUUUAUUAUUUUUCAAUAUCGAAAAAUUAUUCUGUCAGUUUAAGGGAUAUAUACUUGAUCUAGCUAGCUCUUUAUACAAAGUAACUCAAAAUCUCUUUUCAAUUUAUCAUCUCAAAAUUAUUAGAAUACAUGACUCUUUAUAAUUGAAUAAGAUAUAUAAUAAAAUUAAUUAGAUUUUAAUGACGAAUAUUAGUCAAUAGAAAGAAAUAUCAAAAUAUGUGCCAAGUGAGAGAAUAUCUUAUAAAUUAAUGGGCUAAGUGAGAGAAUAUCAAAUAUGUGACCCUUUAUAAUUGAAUAAGAUAUAUAAUAAAACUAAUUAGAUUAUGAUAAUGGAUAUUAGCCAAUAGAAAGAAAGUUUAUAUUAUAGUAUGAUUCCUUAGGGGGUGCCCUUGAUGGGAGGAACUCUCUUAAUUAUUUAUCAUAGACUCUCUACUCUCGUCUAUAAAUAGAUGGGACCUCAUAGGGACUAAUGACAUGAUGUUUAUAUGAUGUAAUGGUCAUGAACACAUACACGAGAUACAAUAUGUGACAAUGAGAGAUUACGAUUCCUUUCUCAUCCUCUCUUGUCUCUGAACCAUUAAUAACUAUAAUCUUGUGAAAAGGUAGAAAGAGAUGAGGAGUGUUUAGUUCUCCUUGUAGAUCGACAUUUGAUAUAAACGAUUUUGCCCCACACAAACUCAUCUACCACUAAGGCCAACACCUAUGGAGAGUUUCAGGUCAUUAGCUUCGAAAUGGCACCAUAGUGUCGAUAACCAUCCUACUUUAUUAAGAUCAAAGAAUAAUCAGGUGAUUUUGCUAAUCUUAUCCAAGGCCAACCAAUAAAAGGCCUAGGGAUCAAGUAUAAAAAGGAACUCAUUAACUCACGCUGAGAGGGGGGACUCUCUAUACACUAACCUAGUCAUACAGCUUACACUACUAUCUUUCCCCUUUCACUGACUUAAGCAUCGGAAGGAAUGCGUUGGGCAACCCCUAAUGCUGGCCUAUCAUGCAAGAUUGCUGACGGUCAAGUGAUGAUCGGACCCAAUCCUUGUCAAUAGAACCUCGUAAUCUUUAAUGCCAUCAUAACCAUCAACUAUUUAUGAUGUGAAUGGCAAAACUGCUCAUUGUUCACUUAAGAAUCUACUCAAUAGAUUUUCACUAGAUAGAGAACAGACAACGACUCGUAAACAUGUCAACUAUCUUACUAGAAACAUACACUAUCUAUGAAACAAUGCCCAAGGCAACUUCUAUCUAGAAAUUAAUAAUAAUUAGAUGAUCAUGUUCACACUAAAAAUAGAAAGUCAUUCAUCCUAUUAUCAUUAACUUAUUAUAUCCAUACCAAGAUUAAGAAAGUAUCCUGAUGAUUAACUUUGAUUUAGAAUCGAUUAUAUUUGAUUUAACAUAUUGACAAACAUUGUAAUUGGUAUAUAUAUCCUUCGACGGAAUCAAAUAAUUUGGGUAAUAUAUCUCACGGCUAAUUCUCACUCUUUAUUAUUUUUCAAUAUCGAAAAAUUAUUCUGUCAGUUUAAGGGAUAUAUACUUGAUCUAGCUAGCUCUUUAUACAAAGUAACUCAAAAUCUCUUUUCAAUUUAUCAUCUCAAAAUUAUUAGAAUACAUGACUCUUUAUAAUUGAAUAAGAUAUAUAAUAAAAUUAAUUAGAUUUUGAUGAAAACUAUUAGUCAAUAGAAAGGAAUAUCAAAAUACGUGCUAAGUGGGAGAAUAUCUUAUAAAUUAAUGGGCCGCCUCCGGUGCUCCAGAGAGCAGCCUUAUGGUUAAUAAAAACACUAUACGUGCUAAGUGGGAAAUUCCUAUGAUGGCUAAUAAAAACACUAUAAUAAACUAAUUUUACUCUUAUUUGGAUGAUAUUAUUGUUAAAUUAUUUUAAAUAUAUGAUAUAUCAAAUGGUUUGUAGUAUGUUUGGAUUUCUCAGUUAUAGUAUUUUUUAAAUAACAUUAUAGUGUUUUUAUAAGGUGUAAAGCAAUUGAAAAAUCUUUGAUUAUCGUUGAUCGUAAAUGUGUAGUUAGUUUGACUGAAUCUAUUCGGGUUAUUUAUAAUAUUUUUAUUAUGAUAAUCAAAAUACUAUAAAAAUUAAUUUUUGAUUCUCAUUUUGAUGACCAAACUAUUGUGUAAAUCAUAUAAAUCAGAUCAUGCUACUGUACAAACCAAUCCAUCAACUUGGAUUCAAACACCGAUAUAUCGGUCUAUAAGGUAUCUAUGAAACUAGUGGGAAAAAUAUCAUUGAGGCUGGUAAGAAAUACUUUCAGUAUUAUUCAAAAUAGAAGGUAUCAUUUGAGAAAUAUGAGACAUCUUUUAGGAAAAUAAUAAUAAAAAAAGUGAGACAUCUUCGAAAUCACCCGAAAACUUUUGCUCACUUGUUUACUAGGGUCUUCUAGACUUUGCAGCAUCAAGAGAGUUCCUCUCCUCCGAACUCCUGUUUACCUAACAUCUCUACGAUGAUCAACAUGCGUUAGGGUGCAAGUCAACUAAAACUUCCCUUGAUCCCGAUAACUCAACAAGAGUAAGCAGUGCUUCAGUUUAAUUUGACCAAGUACGUGCCUGCCAGAGACACUGCAGUUAAUUCUACAAGGCCAAUAAUGUAUGAAUACAUAAGAAAAAGCUCAACGCAAAAGAUUGGAAGAUUAUUUUGAUGUAUUUGUACAGAGAAAACAAUACAACAAAGUCUUUAGAAAAGGAACACACCAAAAGAUUAAAAAUAGGACGAAUGGCUGAGACUAGCAUGCUAUACUAUAUAAGAAUCUGGAGAACCAAGGGUGGAAUCAAAUUCGAGAUUACAUGUUGCUAUUAGGCAAUAAAUUUAGAGAUGCUCUAUUGUCACAUUGAAGCACAAGUUUGUAACAUAAAAAACAACCUGCAUAAUUUGACAUAUUAACUAGACUUCCAGAUCAACUUUUUGUUUGAUAGCUAUUACAGCUUUGACAAAAAUAAGACACCGAACAAAGGAUGCAAAAGAAACAUAUAGUAGCAAAAGCCAAAAAAGUUGAAAUGUGGAUUUUCAUAGUACAUAAACCAGUAUAACUACAUAUCAUAAAUAUAACCAAAGAUUCUAACUGUUAGAAAUAUCUUGACUUCAGUCUGAGUGUGGGUAAAAAACAUUUCAAGAAGGCUGAAAUUGGUGUCAUCUGACAGCGGACAAAAUACAUUUUGGGAAGGGAGAAAUUGGCCUACAAGAAGUCAGCAAGUCUCAUUUCUCUUUCAUUACCUGAAGGCCGGCAAUGGUUGAAUUCUCCCUAGCAAAGUAACUCCUAGAAUUAUAUUUCCUUUUCCAAUUUGUUCAACAUAUACUUACUAAUGUAAUCAAACUAGCACACUGCAGAUGCCAACCUCUGGAAGGUAACACAUACUAAAAGAGCAAUUUCCAAGAACCUUGUUAAUCCACUUCUUUUGCACCAAACACUCCGCAAAUGGAGCUAACACCCCAAGUAUUUUUUAUUGAUAAGAACAAUUUAUGAUCGAUACAAGACAACCUCUGGACAGUAACACCUACUAAAAUAUCAAUUUCCAAGAUCACUGCUAAUCCACUUCUUUUGCACCAAACACCCUGUAAAUGGAGCUAACAAUCAAGCACUUUUGAUUGAUAAGAACAUUUUAUGCACCGAACACUCAAUAUGACCCAACCAAAAAAAUGAGAGGAUCGCACCCUCCGUAAACUUAUGAUCCAGACAUCUGUAACGCACAGAGCACAAUAAUAAUAUUCAUUGACAAUAAUGGAAAAUGCAUCCCAUCAAGUCUCAUCAUUAUUACUGGCGUACACAUCUAACUGUGCUUUUAUUAAAUAUCAGAUAACAAUCUUCACAUUGCUAGAACUGAAAAAUUCUCAAUCCUUAGCUACCCAGCUACGGAUCAUCUGAAAUAUGUACUUUUCAGAUCGAUAGGGAUUAUCUUAGUAGAAACAAGACGUCAAGAAAUCUAGUUGUGUCCCACGCAAUCAGCUAAAGAUAAGAAUAAUAAUGAAAAAAGAGCAUAAAUUAGGAUAAAAGAUCUCACAAAUUCAUCAUGAGAAAAGCACAUCCAUCAGUGCACUUUGCUGCAUCGGAACUCGUCCGAGGGAUGAAGCUACCUCCUUAUAGACUAAAUUCAUAUCACAUUACCUGCUAUUAGUCCAUUACUAGGAUCAAGUGGUGCCCGGCAACAGUCGAAAUACGCAUUUCUAUAGAUGCAAGGAAUAUCUUAUAAGCUUGUUUGACGACUACUAAUCCCUUUCAAAAUUGCCUACGAAUAAUGACAAUGUUGUUCAAUCAUCCAUAUAUGUAUAUAUCAACAUGCUGCACAACCAUGCAACAACAACCUUUCACAUACUCAAGCAUCCAACUUAUGCAUCAUGGCACUUCUAACAAAUAUUAAUAUGCGUCAAUUAUAGGCUAAAAUAGACGCAUCAAUAUAAAAUUUAUUGCCAAAAGAAAUAUGAACUAAUAACAGCAUAUUAAAAUUUCAUCACAUCAGCAUACAGAGAAUCUAGGUUUUAUGAGGCACCUAACACUAUAUUGCUCAUCCAAAUUGGAUACAGAGUUCAAAAAAGUUAUUAUCGAUUUACAAUUCAGUCCUUGAAAUUUACAAUCAUUUCUUCAUUACAUUGCAAACCAGUCCCUAGCAGUCUUAAUGGGCAGGCCCUUAGGCAGCCACGUGGAACUUGGUCUCAAAGGCAGGACCACAUGGAGUUGGCCUGUCUGAGCUGAAGUGCAUGAAGUUUAGACCACCCCCGUACUAAAAUGCUUAAAUUGGUAAAGGACAACUUGUACAUUCCAGUGCUUAAAUUGAGAACAAAACAUUGUCAAUACGGAAAGUGUGGUUUCCUUCAUAAAUCUAAGAGUUACAACUUCAUUCUCAAGAAGACAGUCAGCUUCAAACUAUCAUGGUGGCAACCUGGUAUUCAUUAAGGUUUUGCACUUAUAAAGAGAGAAAUUUCAACUGAAUUGACCGAUCAGCAAGAGGAAAGAAGUGGUUCAAACUAAUCACUUAAGAAAGAGAACAAAGUUUGAUAAACAAAAUAUACAAAAAAUUGAAACGCAACCUCAUCUACCUUUUUUGGGUUUUCGGUUUGGUUUAGGAUAUGAGGGACUUUAGUAAAUUUAUAUAAAAGGUGACCAACCCUUGCCCUAAAUCAAAAGCCUCAUCAUCCAGCUCAAAAUCACCAAAGCAUCCUACCAUACCAUCCAAAAGAAUCCUACUUCUUAUCAUUUGAAAAAAUAACCAAAACUCGAAACCUAACUUAGCAAAUAUCCAUAGUUAAAUCAAUCAAAACUUCACGUGUCCAAUAACCUACAUAAGUCUGAUAUCUUCCAGUAGACUUAAAACGAAUGGGACAAGAAUAACAAUUCCAUGUGGCGUCUACACAAGUGAUUAUCAACAAGCAAUUAACUCUAUCGGCAAUAUCAUCACAAAUCUUCUCAACAUUCUUCAUUUUCUUACUACGUGUAAGCAUCCAAACUCAUCUUACAUUCACAGAAAACGAAGUAAAUGGCAGGAAUUAUUUGGUCGCAAACUGUAGAUCAUGUUAUGCGGAUAGUGGAAAAUUGGAACCUGGAAACAUAACUUGCUGGUACAAAAGUUUGUGCUAUGCAUUAUGCAUUUCCACGAUCAAAUGCAGUUCUGUUUUUGGGGACUCCAUUAUACAACUCAAUGAGUUCUGGAUACUCCUUGUAGCGGUUGACGAACUUCUCCACAAAUUUCUUCUCUGGAUAUUUCGCGUAUGUAGACAUACUAAGGUUACUGAUGCAAACUCCCCUAGACUUCAGGCCUGUCACAAUCUGAUGCCUUGGCAUCAACCUUUUCUCCAAACUGCACAACAAAAUAUCUGGCCGAAGAGCAAGAUGAGAUGGAGCACAUCCGGCUUCAUUUACCAAGAACUCCAUCUUCCUCUGCAAACUCUUUAAAGAUAAUCCCACAAGCGUAGGAACCUUUCUGAAUGCAGCAAGGAAAUCAUCCUCGGACCACCCGAAGCCCUUGAAGAACUCCAAGUGAGCCUUGAAGUUCUUCUCGGUGAUUCUCUGGAGCACACACAGGGUAAGGGGGAAGAUCCCUGAGGUGCGAGGUACUCCCAAACCCUCGACACGACUGAUUAACGCCUUCAGGGUUUCAGCAUUCCGGGUUAUAAGGAGGGGGCGGUGCCGUAUGAUCAUUGAGAGCUUCUGAUCCGUGAUCCCGCAAUCCCUUAGAAUUUCAAUGUUAGGCUGGAUCGUCUUCUCGAUGCUAUACCCGAGAAACCUCCUGUUUUUCUUGCACAAGUUUACCAAAAAGUCGUUGGACUCGAGGAGGUCUUGCCAUAAUUGGAUCUUGGACAAGAUGUUCUCGGAUUUGUCGCUGGUGACGUCGUUAUUCGAUCUGACGAGGUGGGUGAUGUCGGAGCAGGAGAAGCCCAGAUCCUGCAAAGCUCGGAACUUUGGAGCCAGGGUCUUCUCCACGUCGAGGAGAAGCCACCGGGGGUUUGCAGAUAUGACCUUUUUCACCUGGGUGUUGUCAAAACCGUAGCUUUUAAAUAAGCCAAGGACGGAGUCAGGCUGGUGGCGGGAUUCGACGCCGCCAAGGAGCUUCGAGGCUUUGGCCGCCUGAUCUGGAUCGAAGCCACAGGAGCUGACCAGGUAUUCAGCCAUAAGGCUGCUCUGUGGAGCACCGGAGGUGGCGGAGUAAGAAUGGGUUGCGAGAAAAAGGGCAGCAUCGGCCGGACGACAGCAAGGGACGAAGGCAAGGGCUUUGGACAAGAGAGAGACGUAGGGCGACCUAUUCAUCAAUGUCAUCGUCUUCUUCUUCUUCUUCGUAGGUUCCUUCUCUUUACCAAAACCUAGCGAAGGUGGCGUAGUUGCGUAUAGAGGAGCGCGAUUAGGCCGGAAGUACCUGCGUCUUAAACCCUAGAAGUGCGUUACCGUGUUCGACAUUUUUCUGGUUGGCUAG
rnacentral:lncRNA from 1 species